rnacentral:rRNA from 1 species
GGCGAACGGGUGAGUAACACGUGAGUAACCUGCCCUUGACUUUGGGAUAACUUCAGGAAACUGGGGCUAAUACCGGAUAGGAGCUCCUGCUGCAUGGUGGGGGCUGGAAAGUUUCGGCGGUUGGGGAUGGACUCGCGGCUUAUCAGCUUGUUGGUGGGGUAGUGGCUUACCAAGGCUUUGACGGGUAGCCGGCCUGAGAGGGUGACCGGCCACAUUGGGACUGAGAUACGGCCCAG